GUGUUUUCAGUCAUGUUGUCUGGGAAUUCCUUCAGCCGUUGCUUAUUCUUGUACAGCCGAUUGGAUCGUCUCACUUUUUGCUUGCAUCGUAAAGGUUUAGAGUUUUAGUUCGAGGUUCAGGAAUCUAUUCUUUAAUACGUAUAUGAUUUCGAGACUAGAUUACUAUUGUUCAUGGGUAGUAUGAUCACAUGUUAUCGACUUUUCUCUAUCAUCUGUACACACUGGUGUCGUUGUUCGAUGCACCAGGUGUUUGAAUAUGAAUACCCAGAGGAUGAGAGGAUCAAAAUAAAGUUAGAUUUCCAGAAUUAGCUUAGACCUUCGUGCGCACUAACUCCCCAGCAAUUGGAUAUAGAUGGAUAUCCUCAAUGCUCAGUAACUUGCAAAAGAAAAGUAUAUUUUAUAUUUGCGCUGCUGCACAUAAAGGCUUUCUGAAUGGAGGAGGGAUGUUCUUGCUCAUGCUGAAGAUAGUACUGGUUUAUACUUUCAUUUAUCCUCAUCUUGCCUUAGUACAUGUCUAAAUUUGAUAAACUUGGAAAUGUGACACCUAUGUAUGCAUAUAUAGGAUAUAAAAUUGUAUUUAUAGUUUCACCAUGCUCUUAGAUUGGAACUUUCUCAACUGCUGGUUGCUAUUAGUUAGAUCUGACAUAUAAGAGUUUGCUACUUUUUUGUGCCUGCUAUGCUUGUAUUAGUUUAAGUAUAAAAAAUUACUCUUACCCCAAUUUGUACUAUAAUGAUGAUACGAUUAAGUUUCUAUGUAUGUUCUCUUUUCUCUCUUUCUUUCCUCAUUUGUUUGUGACUAUACACACCACCAUAUGAGCUUCAUGUGUUCUCAUUCGUUAGGCUCGAGGGAUCGGAGAAGAACACGGAUAUGUAUCUAUUAAAUUGUUAUAUCUCUCCUAAAUUGUUGUUUCCUUAUCUGAAACAGGUAUCUAUCUAUCUUUUAUGAGCUUCAUGUAGUUGUUUGUAAUUUUGCAGAGCAGUUCAUUAUUUCUGAGGUUACCAUUUAGUUCAUCCUUACAAUUACUGUUUCCAGAUGAUUACUAGAAUGAAAGGGAUGUGCUACACUGCUACCAGAUGAAAUCUAAAUCGGGAUAUGUUGAUAAAAAUGGUCCUCUCAUUACUAUUAUCAAGGUAAUUGUCAUGUUAUGUA